GGAAUAUUGCGCAAUGGGCGAAAGCCUGACGCAGCAACGCCGCGUGAGGGACGAAGGCCUUCGGGUCGUAAACCUCUUUUCUGGGGAAAGAGCAAGGACGGUACCUCAGGAAUAAGUCUCGGCUAACUACGUGCCAGCAGCCGCGGUAAAACGUAGGAGGCGAGCGUUAUCCGGAUUUACUGGGCGUAAAGCGCACGCAGGCGGCUUCGUUAGUCGGGUGUGAAAGCUCCUAGCUUAACUGGGAGAGGCCACUCGAUACUGCGAGGCUUGAGGUUGGGAGAGGGGUGUGGAAUUCCCGGUGUAGUGGUGGAAUGCGUAGAUAUCGGGAGGAACACCUGUGGCGAAAGCGGCACCCUGGCCCACACCUGACGCUGAGGUGCGAAAGCGUGGGGAGUAAACAGGAUUAGA
rnacentral:rRNA from 1 species